AUCGGUUUCAUUAGAGAUUUUACCUUUUGGCUUUAACCCCUUAAGCACCCAUGACAUGUGACAUGUCAUGAUUCCCUUUUAUUCCAGAAGUUUGGUCCUUAAGGGGUUAAAGCAUCAAAGUCAUUUGUAGUGUAGGACUCACCCAAGAGGUGAGGUAAUGGCCAUUGGAGUGAUACCCUACCCUCUUGUUAUUUAAAUGUGUGCAGGGAUUUGGGAUAGAGCACCAAUACCUUGUUUUGCU